CAAUAGCGUAUAUUUAAGUUGCUGCAGUUAAAAAGCUCGUAGUUGGAUUUCGGGUGGGAAUGGCCGGUCCGCCGUUUCGGUGUGCACUUGCUACGCCCACCUUGCUGCCGGGGACGUGCUCUUGAGUUCACGCUCGGGACACGGAGUCGGCGAGGUUACUUUGAGUAAAUUAGAGUGUUCAAAGCAGGCCUACGCUCUGAAUACAUUAGCAUGGAAUAACACGAUAGGACUCUGGCCUAUCUUGUUGGUCUGUAGGACCGGAGUAAUGAUUAAGAGGGACAGUCGGGGGCAUUCGUGUUUCAUUGUCAGAGGUGAAAUUCUUGGAUUUAUGAAAGACGAACUACUGCGAAAGCAUUUGCCAAGGAUGUUUUCAUUAA
rnacentral:rRNA from 1 species